UACAGAGGUCUCAAGCGUUGUUCGGAUUCAUUGGGCGUAAAGGGUGCGUAGGCGGCGCGGUAAGUCGGGGUGUGAAAUCUCGGAGCUUAACUCCGAAACUGCAUUCGAUACUGCCGGUGCUUGAGGACUGGAGAGGAGACUGGAAUUUACGGUGUAGCGGUGAAAUGCGUAGAUAUCGUAAGGAAGACCAGUGGCGAAGGCGGGUCUCUGGACAGUUCCUGACGCUGAGGCACGGAAGGUCAGGGGAGCAAACGGG
rnacentral:rRNA from 1 species